rnacentral:rRNA from 1 species
CCUACGGGUGGCAGCAGUGGGGAAUAUUGGACAAUGGGGGGAACCCUGAUCCAGCCAUGCCGCGUGUGUGAAGAAGGCCCUCGGGUUGUAAAGCACUUUCAGUGAGGAAGAACGCCUGGUGGUUAAUACCCAUCAGGAAAGACAUCACUCACAGAAGAAGCACCGGCUAACUCCGUGCCAGCAGCCGCGGUAAUACGGAGGGUGCGAGCGUUAAUCGGAAUUACUGGGCGUAAAGCGCGCGUAGGUGGCUUGAUAAGCCGGUUGUGAAAGCCCCGGGCUCAACCUGGGAACGGCAUCCGGAACUGUCAAGCUAGAGUGCAGGAGAGGAAGGUAGAAUUCCCGGUGUAGCGGUAAAAUGCGUAGAGAUCGGGAGGAAUACCAGUGGCGAAGGCGGCCUUCUGGACUGACACUGACACUGAGGUGCGAAAGCGUGGGUAGCAAACAGGAUUAGAUACCCUAGUAGUC